AUUGAACGCUGGCGGCAUGCUUUACACAUGCAAGUCGAACGGCAGCGGGGGCUUCGGCCUGCCGGCGAGUGGCGAACGGGUGAGUAAUGCAUCGGAACGUGCCCAUGUCGUGGGGGAUAACAACGCGAAAGCGUGGCUAAUACCGCAUACGCCCUGAGGGGGAAAGCGGGGGAUCUUUCGGGACCUCGCGCGAUUGGAGCGGCCGAUGUCGGAUUAGCUAGUUGGUGGGGUAAAGGCUCACCAAGGCGACGAUCCGUAGCUGGUCUGAGAGGGUGAUCAGCCACACUGGGACUGAGACACGGCCCAGACUCCUACGGGAGGCAGCAGUGGGGAAUUUUGGACAAUGGGCGCAAGCCUGAUCCAGCCAUGCCGCGUGAGUGAAGAAGGCCUUCGGGUUGUAAAGCUCUUUCGGCCGGGAAGAAAUCGCAUUCUCUAAUAUAGGAUGUGGAUGACGGUACCGGACUAAGAAGCACCGGCUAACUACGUGCCAGCAGCCGCCGCAGUAA
rnacentral:rRNA from 1 species